rnacentral:rRNA from 1 species
CGGGUUGGUGGGUUUGGGAUUGGGUCUAGGUGAGGGUGAGGUCGGCGGCGACGGGGGAAGAGGGAGGGUCUAGGUUAGGUUCAGUCUUGGGGAGCGGGAGGGCAGGGGCCGGAGGUAGAGGUAAGGACGCGCACAGCCUGUGGAGGGAGGCCGUCUCGAGCUGGGUGUGGCGGUUCGCGGCGACGAGGUGGGAGAGGGCGCGGGGAGUUAGGGUCUAGGGGCAGAGGUUCAAUGGGAGAAGGAGGGAGUCUAGAGCUAGGCAGCAGGUGGUAGCUACUGGGAGGGAUAUCUGCUCUAGCUCGAGGAGGGAGGAGGACAAGAGGGGGUCGGAAUAGGCGAGGCUCGGUUGGUUGGUGGGACAGGAACCCUAAAACGGCGCGCCGCGGAGCAGAGCGGCCGGACCGCUGGUGUCCGUCCGUCAGGUGCCGGUCCUACCGCCGCACGGGGCGGCGCUGGUGCAUGUGCGUGUUGUGAGGCGCGGAGGGGAGGGAGAGGACGCCAAGGAUUGUCUGCGUGAGCAACGCCAGCCGCAGGGGCCUCAACCGCGUCCUCCCCGACCGGCCGCAGGGGGCAGCUGCAGGAGGAGGGAGAACAGGACGCACUAGACCUCCCCCUACCUCGCCCGCCGGUAGUAGACUCCGAUCCGGUGCAGCCUGGCCCUCCCCUGGUACCGCGGCGGGGUAGCGCCAACAGGAGCAAGUGGAGACGAGGUCGUCGCAACGGAAUCCUCUACCCCCGGUAUCUGGAACCCUUGGGCGAGGAGUUGGCGUGGCAGCUGCCGAAGGAGUUCUAGCCGCGGCACAACAACGACCCCACAUACAUCCGUACCUCAUACCUCACCUUUCCCGGUCACCACUGACACUGAGCAGGUCUUACCCCGCACCCUCUUCGACGGCCGGCCGCCUAGACACACUUUCGGUGGUAACUCUCCUUGUUUUUCCGGUUGGUACUGUGUAGGUUGAGAUCGUGCCAACGUCUUCAGUUACGGGUGCAUUGUAGUACAGUAAGAAAGUGAGAUGUCGUUAACGAACUUAACUGUGGGUUCUACACUAGAAAACGAUAGAAUCCUCUUGGACCACACGAUAUACCCCUUCGUUUCGUCGUUGGGUGUUGAGUUGAACACUGAGGUCUACUUCCGUGGUGCUGCGUGGUACUAAUAGGUAACCUUCCCGAAGGCUCAAACGUGGGGCGGCAGGCCUGCCUCGUUCCUCCCCAGUAGCAGGUGUGGCACCUCAACCAACUCGGAACUCACGCUGGACCUCUUCAUCCCGUAACAGACCCCAGUAGAGAAGGAAAACGGCACGACCCUAUGAACCAACAUGGGGCCCCUCAACCAACUCGGAACUCACGCUGGACCUCUUCAUCCCGUAACAGACCCCAGUAGAGAAGGAAAACGGCACCAUUCUUUACUCGCGGUGAGAAACAGCACGUACAUAGCUUUACCGUCUUUACAACUUAUGUACAAACGAGAGUCGACCCUAUGAACCAACAUGAAUCAAUACACUAAAUAAGUACAAGCACGACGAACAAUUCACUAAUAGACAUACAGUAACGAUGGGGCAACGUAUAGAGAGAAAAGAACACACGACGUAACAUCUAUACGAACUACCUCACUUACGAAAGUCAAGACCAACACAGUUUAGAAAUGAUACAGGGUACGAAUCACAAAUGAUAUAACUCCGUAACCGGUAGCCUUAAAGCCGCACAUACAUAUUAAAAUCAAGACCUACACAGGUUACGUUUGUAAUGAUAGUUGACAAUUUAACUAAGAUUUUAAAGAGUAAUUGAAGUAAAGUCUGCUACUAAAGACCUAAACCAUGGUUAAAUAACAACCGUACGUACACGAUACAUGGAACGAAACCAAAAUACAUCGUUCACGGAAUCAUGGAAAAGACAGUACACCACAGGUACCUAACUUUACAACCGACAAUAUAUAACUAACAUCAUAGCUUUUACGGAGUUUGGACUUUAUGAAUUUUAUCUAACAACAAGGAAAGAACAAUCAAAACUAUGGGUAUAUGGACGGAACAUAAUCGAGAAAGGAAAGCACGUACAAUUAAGUCACAAACACAACUAAACUACGGUUACAAGUUUUUGUUCUAAAAAUACCUACCCAAAUACACAAGACGACCAUAUAUACGUGUGUCUUACCGGAAGUAAUAAAAACAUAGACGACAAUCUAAACGAAAAUAAAACAAAGAUUGGUAAAACAAGAUAUUGUACGUGUACGACCGGAAAGUACAAAACAGCGCUCGUUGUUCUGCUUCUUCAGCCUUCUUCGUAUCAAGAUCGAGUAACCUCGAUCAAGUUCCUCAUUACUUCGGGAACUACGACUAGACAACCUUGUUUGACUUCGUGCUUGAACCGAGUACACUAGGUGAACAUCUCGAAUAAUAUGACACUAGCGUAAACAUACACACUAGUGUAAACAUACACACAAUCUACUACAUUGUAUAACGAAGAACAAUAAACUUCAUAAUGUAGACAAAAGACAGAUAAAACUAAAUUUAUGACCAAAUUAAUGAC